AGUCUCACCGUCCGCCCGGCUCCGGGCGCAGCCGGUGCGCUGUUCCCAGGCCCCGCGGCGCGCGGGAGCUGCGCGUCCAGGAGGGGCCCGGACGCCCUUCUUGGGGAGGGGGCUGCGGGGCGCAUCAUGAGCGGCGCUGGGCGAGCUCGAGGGCCGGGCAGCCUACCUGGACCCCGGCUUCUAGAGAGCCGUCGCCGUCCUUGUCGAGACUCGCUUUCGCCCCUCUGAGGAAUAAGUUAAAAACCGCGAGUCUGGUUCUGAGCCGCCCCCUGGCGCAGGCGCGACCCCACCCGGCCCUCCCGUCUCCCAACUUGGGACAGACGCGGCGGCCGGGCGGUCGGAUCCGUGAGCCUCGGCCGCUGGGGCUACAUACACAGCCCAGGACGCCACAGAAUCGCCGAGGCCCCGCGAACGCCCAAACGGCCGCAAGUCGAAGUGAUCCCAUCUGAAGAAGACAGCGCGAGGAAGCGAGACCCUGCUGUGUGCCGGCCCCCGGAGGGCGCCCCGGGCCCUGUGGGUCGGAGGGUGGGGAAGCACAGAGAAACACGCAGGCAGUAAAACGUUAGGAGGACAGGGGGUGCCAGCGUGCAGGAAAUGCUGCUAAGAGACCUUUAGGAGCCAAGGGGAAAACGGAGAGAUUGGCAGUUCCAGGCACCCACAUCCCAGCGCGGUCCGCUCACCCCUUCCUCCCUGCCCUCCAGGCAGCGCUCAGCCCACGGUAGAAAUGUCUUGCAUCUUUUUUCCGACGAGGAAGAAUUGAACUUUUUAUACCCAACUUUUCUGCUUUCUUAGAAAUGUUGACUCACCUGUGAGGAAGCAUUAUUUGAAACUAUUAUUGUAAAUUGCUUGACAUUUGAAUUAGAUGCUGAAAGAUUAAAGGGUCUCAGAAGAAUCUUUUAAGCUAGACUGGAAUUGACUCUGCCUAAAUGGACAGCAACAGUCAUCUAUACGCAGGAAUAAUAAAGCAGGUGGAGGCAGCCUCUAACUUACCUUCCAGCCACACCGUAGAAUUUCCUGAGCAGGCUUUUUUGUCAGAGUUUUGAGCUGGGUUCCCUGAGACUGGAUUGGGGCUUUCAGUUUCUCCCCUUCUAGAGUCAGACUUCUUCCUGAAGAAAAAGUGUUAUCUCUACUUCCCUAUCACAAACACUUCCUAGAACACAGCCCUGUUAAAAGGUAAAUAGAGGCGGUCCUUCCCACACUAUAUUUCUCUGUGAUCUGAAGCAUGUACACAUUAUACAAUCUUUCGUAUCUUUUUAAAUUAUAGGUAUAAUCUGUGGGAUUAGAUAUAACUAAACAGGUCAAGAAGCAAUCCUGUGACAUAAUACAAUUCCUGAGCACUCCAGGUUUUGAUGAGUUUCCCAAUUGUCACCCCAUUAUCAGCAUUUACAAGAUUGUCAUGUAUUCAUUUAACAAACAUUUAUGAAGCCGGGCGCGGUGGCUCAAGCCUGUAAUCCCAGCACUUUGGGAGGCUGAGGCGGGAGGAUCACAAGGUCAGGAGAUCAGGAUCUUCCUGGCUAACACGGUGAAACCCAGUCUCUACUAAAAAUACAAAAAAUUAGCC
rnacentral:lncRNA from 1 species